rnacentral:rRNA from 1 species
GAUGAACGCUGGCGGCGUGCCUAAUACAUGCAAGUCGAGCGAACAGACGAGGAGCUUGCUCCUCUGACGUUAGCGGCGGACGGGUGAGUAACACGUGGAUAACCUACCUAUAAGACUGGGAUAACUUCGGGAAACCGGAGCUAAUACCGGAUAAUAUAUUGAACCGCAUGGUUCAAUAGUGAAAGACGGUUUUGCUGUCACUUAUAGAUGGAUCCGCGCCGCAUUAGCUAGUUGGUAAGGUAACGGCUUACCAAGGCAACGAUGCGUAGCCGACCUGAGAGGGUGAUCGGCCACACUGGAACAGAGACACGGUCCAGACUCCUACGGGAGGCAGCAGUAGGGAAUCUUCCGCAAUGGGCGAAAGCCUGACGGAGCAACGCCGCGUGAGUGAUGAAGGUCUUCGGAUCGUAAAACUCUGUUAUUAGGGAAGAACAAAUGUAUAAGUAACUAUGCACGUCUUGACGGUACCUAAUCAGAAAGCCACGGCUAACUACGUG